GGAGGGAAAACCAGAGAACCCAGAGGAAAGAUGGGCGGAUGGCUCAUUCUUGUUCCAUCGCUAAAUCUACUGUAAAGAGGCCUCGUAGGAGUAUCUGGUUGGAGUCUAUUGACAUGGCAAGAAGGAAGCGGAGGAAGAGGUCCAGGUGUCCAUUCCGACUCUUCAAGGCCUGAUCUACUGCACUCUUGUGUAGGAAGUGUAUGUACAUUUGCGCCAAAGUUGUGGGGAUUCCGCUGCAGCCUUCAUCACUCGACAUUCGCUCAAGGACAGU